UGUACUGAUGAUGAUGACUGGUGGCAUAGGAGUUAUGGACAAUGAAAAUAUGUGUCUGAAAUGCUGAGGUCAAA
ensembl:snoRNA